rnacentral:misc_RNA from 1 species
GCUCCGUAGGUGAACCUGCGGAGGGAUCAUUACAGAGUUCAUGCCCUACCGGGUAGAUCUCCCACCCUAUGUUAUUAUUACUUUGUUGCUUUGGCGGACCGUUAGGCUCCGGCCCGACUACCGGCCCCGGCUGGUAAGCGCCCGCCAGAGGACCCAAAACCCUGAAUAUUAGUGUCGUCUGAGUACUAUAUAAUAGUUAAAACUUUCAACAACGGAUCUCUUGGUUCUG